UCACUGAGCUUUUGUUAGGCUGCCUUUUAAAGAGGUCUAUUUAACAUCUCAAUAAUGACUUACCGUUCUCUGCCUUGGACUGUUACAAGACAGACUGGCCUCAGUGAAAAAUUUGAGUUUUCCAGUAAAAACAGUAAAAGGUAUUAUUAUAAAUUGACAUCUGGCUAUUAGUUUCAAGACUUCGAUGCCCAGAGUGGGCAACACCAGAUGAAAAAACCCAACAACAGACGGAUUAUAUUGACGCAAUGGCCAAAGGACUUAAGGUGAAAGCUUCUGAUAAACCGACUUCAAGAAACAACACAGGUAGCAACUCCACGGAUCAAGGCUAUGCCCCUUUUAGAGUACAGCUUACCAAGACAUUGGAGCUACCUUAAUUCUGCUUUUCCCAUGGCUGGCUUUCUCUUGGCACACCACUCUGUAGGCAGUGAGGAAGAGAUGACCCUUCGUGAUACCUGAAAUACAACUAAGGCUUGUAGUAGCAGCCUCAGGGGUUGUUGUAGCUAUUGCCAGUCCUCAAGUUCCAGGGGACAUUAUACUUAUAUUCAUCAUGAUGGACUUCUCUCUAGCCAUUCAAGGCUUCUGGGUCAACCACUUCACCCGAUGUCUCCAUUAUUUAUUGGUCUGAACCCCUGUGAGGGUACCUCAACCUGCCCAGCUUCUCUUGUUGCACAAUUUUCACUUGUACUGCAUCUUCUAAGACAUUUUUUUUUAACCAGGUCCUUCCAUAAAAAAUACAUUUUUGCAUUGUUACCUAGUGUUUGUAUACAGGUAUGUAUAGAACAGAAAAGAAAAAGUUUUAUGAAAUGCUCAUACUUACUACCUGGUAAUGUGCUUUAUUUUCUAUUAUAUUGCAUUGCAUUGUAUUUCUCUUAUUUUGUCGUGUUUUCAUUUUUUUAAAUAAAUAAUGGUAGUGAUCCAUAAGUUAAUUUCAUAAUCUAGUCUCAAUCCAUUGUUUGAAAAAUAAAAAAUAAAGGAUCUUUUAUUCGA